rnacentral:lncRNA from 1 species
UAAUGCCCUCAAGGCCUAUAGGUAUUAAACAAAUAACUGAAUUGAAAAUUUCUUCUUUUUUGUGUAAAUCACAGAUUGCUAUGAGAGUGACUACCCAACAAUGUUGGUGUUAUGGAAGACAUUACAGUCUCAAGGAAUAAUUGGUUGAGAGUCAUGAAAGUAAGGAUGGCAUACUUCAAUGCACAAAUCAAAUUACCUGGAUAAAUGGGAAAUAAUACUCCCAGGGAAAACAGAUUCUUUCUCAAGAGGGAGCAAGUGGAUAACUGCUUUAGAAUGAUGGCAUCAACGAAUCAUAAGCCCGCAUGCUAUGGAUGUUCUUAUAAUUCAGAUUCACAACUAAUCUGGAAAAUGUAUUUGGAGUGAACUGGGCUUCUGAAAAAAAUGAUUGUUGGUUAGCAGAACAAGUAUUUUGCUAGCAGUGCAGCAGACGUUUUCUUCUUGGUGACAUGUGAGAGUGGGUGGUGAGUAUUUCAGAUCAGAACAUUGAGUUCUUGUGAACAAAGAAUGUAUAAUGCCUGGAUUUACUUUUUUUUUUUUCUCUUUUUUCCCUUAGAUUGGCCAUCAUACAGCCUUUCAGAAUUAAAUGUCAACCCCUCUUCAAAAAAAAAAAAAAAAAAAAAAAAAAAAAAAAAGCAAUACUACAUACCUUGACUACAGAUAACUUUAUAACAGAUUAUUUCAUUAUGCUUUAUUUUCUUUGGAGAAUAAUUCCAAAAUAUUUAAUCAGACAAUUAUUAAAUUAUAAUUUCUCAUUUCUGAAGAUAAUAUAAAAUGAGAUUAUAGUUGGUUAUCAUUAAAUGCAUUUAUCACAGCCUCAGGAAAUAUUUCUUCUUUUAUAUUUAGAGGAAAGCAUAUGUAAGAGUAUGGAAAAGGACAUCUCUAAAGUCAGGAAGAGUUGCACAUCCUCAAAGAAGACCAGAUUCAAUAUAUAAAUUAAAAAUUUGUUUUGGGAUCCCUGUGUGGCUCAGCAUUUUGGCGCCUGCCUUCAGCCCAGGCCGUGAUCCUGGAGUCCUUGGGUCAAGUCCCGCAUCAGACCCCCUGAAUGGAGCCUGCUUCUCCCUCUGCCUGUGUCUCUGCCUCUCUCUGUGUGUCUCUCAUGAAUAAAUAAAUAAAUAAAAUCUUUAAAAAAAAGUUUCAAUUUUUUUCAUUUGUGUGAAUGACUUAUACAUUAAAACAAGAACUCACUUUGAGACCACAUGAUUUUUAAGGAAACAACAACUAUAUAUAUAUAUAUAUAUAUAUAUCUUUAUACAUAUCUUUAAU